rnacentral:rRNA from 1 species
UGUAGGUGAACCUGCGGAAGGAU